CACGUAGGGUGCGAGCGUUGUCCGGAAUUAUUGGGCGUAAAGAGCUCGUAGGCGGUCUGUCGCGUCGGAUGUGAAAACUCGGGGCUCAACCCCGGGCCUGCAUUCGAUACGGGCAGACUAGAGUACGGCAGGGGAGACUGGAAUUCCUGGUGUAGCGGUGAAAUGCGCAGAUAUCAGGAGGAACGCCGGUGGCGAAGGCGGGUCUCUGGGCCGAUACUGACGCUGAGGAGCGAAAGCGUGGGGAGCGAACAGG
rnacentral:rRNA from 1 species